rfam:Charadrius vociferus contig52393, whole genome shotgun sequence.
AUUGCUGUCUUACCAGGCAAAGUUAGAUCUACCUAUUUUUGUCUAAUACUGUCUGGUAAUGCCGUCAAU